rnacentral:rRNA from 1 species
CCUUGCCAGCCCGCUCAGAAACUCAAAGGAAUUGACGGGACCCGCACAAGCGGUGGAUCAUGUUGUUAAUUCGAUGAUACGCGAAGAACCUUACCAGGUCUUGACAUCCCCCGCGAUGCUUUAGAGAUAAAGCGGAGGUAUUCGGGGAGACAGGUGGUGCAUGGUUGUCGUCAGCUCGUGCCGUGAGGUGUCGGGUUAAGUCCCAUAACGAGCGCAACCCCUAUCAUUAGUUGCCAUCAGGUCAAGCUGGGGACUCUAAUGAAACUGCCUACGCAAGUAGUGAGGAAGGUGGGGAUGACGUCAAAUCAGCACGGCCCUUACGUCCAGGGCUACACACGUGCUACAAUGGCCGAUACAGAGGGCAGCUACCUGGUGACAGGAUGCAAAUCUCCAAAGUCGGUCUCAGUUCGGAUCGGAGUCUGCAACCCGACUCCGUGAAGUUGGAUUCGCUAGUAAUCGCGCAUCAGCCAUGGCGCGGUGAAUACGUUCCCGGGCCUU